UACGGGGGGUGCGAGCGUUGUCCGGAUUCACUGGGCGUAAAGGGCGCGUAGGCGGCCGGCUCAGUCGGGCCUGGUAAGUGCGGGGCGUCAACCCCGUGAUGGGCGUCGGGACGGGCCGGCUGGGGCGCGGUCGGAGGGAGACGGAAUGCCGGGUGUAGUGGUGAAAUGCGUAGAGAUCCGGCGGAACACCGGUGGUGAAGGCGGUCUCCUGGGCCGAGGGCCGACGCUGAGGCGCGAGAGCGGUGGGGAGCGAACCGG
rnacentral:rRNA from 1 species